rnacentral:pre_miRNA from 15 species
GAAGGAAAAUCAUAUUUGUCUUUUAUCUUUCCUUAUCAUUCUCUUGCCCGGCCGAAUACUAUGUUAUUGAAAUUGCGCUGGACGGAGAACUGAUAAGGGCUUAUAUAAGACACGUGGCACCGAGCACAUC